AACGAACGCUGGCGGCAGGCUUUACACAUGCAAGUCGAGCGCCCCGCAAGGGGAGCGGCAGACGGGGGAGUAACGCGUGGGAAUCUCCCCAUCUCUACGGAAUAACGCAUGGAAACGUGUGCUAAUACCGUAUACGUCCUUCGGGAGAAAGAUUUAUCGGAGAUGGAUGAGCCCGCGUUGGAUGAGCUAGUUAGUGGGGUAAAGGCCUACCAAGGCGACGAUCCAUAGCUGGUCUGAGAGGAUGAUCAGCCACACUGGGACUGAGACACGGCCCAGACUCCUACGGGAGGCAGCAGUGGGGAAUAUUGGACAAUGGGCGCAAGCCUGAUCCAGCCAUGCCGCGUGAGUGAUGAAGGCCCUAGGGUUGUAAAGCUCUUUCACCGGUGAAGAUAAUGACGGUAACCGGAGAAGAAGCCCCGGCUAACUUCGUGCCAGCCGCCGCCGUAACAC
rnacentral:rRNA from 1 species